UUAUCGUUUAUUUGAUAGUACCUUACUACUUGGAUAACCGUGGUAAUUCUAGAGCUAAUACAUGCUAAAAAUCCCGACUUUGGAAGGGAUGUAUUUAUUUAGAUUAAAAACCAAUGCCCUUCGGGGCUCUCUGGUGAUUCAUGAUAACUUCCUCGAAUCGCAUGGCCUUGCGCCGGCGAUGGUUCAUUCAAAUUUCCUUCCCUAUCAACUUUCGAUGUUUGGGUAUUGGCCAAACAUGGUUGCAACGGGUAACGGAGGGUUAGGGCUCGACCCCGGAGAAGGAGCCUGAGAAACGGCUACUACAUCCAAGGAAGGCAGCAGGCGCGCAAAUUACCCAAUCCCGACACGGGGAGGUAGUGACAAUAAAUACUGAUACAGGGCUCUUUUGGGUCUUGUAAUUGGAAUGAGUACAAUUUAAACCCCUUAACGAGGAACAAUUGGAGGGCAAGUCUGGUGCCAGCAGCCGCGGUAAUUCCAGCUCCAAUAGCGUAUAUUAAAGUUGUUGUGGUUAAAAAGCUCGUAGUUGAACCUUGGGCCUGGCUGGCCGGUCCGCCUCACCGCGUGUACUGGUCCGGCCGGGCCUUUCCCUCUGUGGAACCCCAUGCCCUUCACUGGGUGUGGUGGGGAAACAGGACUUUUACUUUGAAAAAAUUAGAGUGCUCCAGGCAGGCCUAUGCUCGAAUACAUUAGCAUGGAAUAAUAGAAUAGGACGUGUGGUUCUAUUUUGUUGGUUUCUAGGACCGCCGUAAUGAUUAAUAGGGACAGUCGGGGGCAUCAGUAUUCAAUUGUCAGAGGUGAAAUUCUUGGAUUUAUUGAAGACUAACUACUGCGAAAGCAUUUGCCAAGGAUGUUUUCAUUAA
rnacentral:rRNA from 1 species